CGGCCGACUAUGCAUGAAGUGACACGGGUCAUUGGGAGCCUUGUGCCAUCCUCUGUUCCACCAAAGCAAUGCAGCCCAGCCCCACCUGCGUCAGUCCCAUCUGCCAAAGUUUCUUGCUACAUGGAUGAGUAUGCAAAUCUCAAGACUCCACACAUGGUGAAUUGCCCCUCCAUGAGCACUUCAGAUGCACAACUUUUCCUGAAAUUCGGAGAGGUAAUUUCCCAGACCAGUGCAAGGAAUAUUCAAGUAUCAUCAUAAUAGGAUAAUUAGAUAUCCCAACAUUAAGUAUUGGGCUAGUGGAUACCUUUUUUUAAACCUUUUGGUGAGGGGUUAAUGGCUGAUGAGUUGGUGGAAAAUGUGUACAAAGAUUUGGUAUCAAUUAUUGUAGCUAGGGAAAAAAAGAUGGGCCUACUUUACUGAAAGAUCUGAAAAGUGCUAGUACCAGAACGCGUAUGUAUGCUUUUACGGUUGUACCAUAUGAAAUCAUUUCUGCAAUUUUGUCAUUGUCCCAGAGGGACCACUGGUGGCUUGGUGGCUUUACAGGGUCAGGGGCAGGCUCUGGCCUCUGUGAAGUAAAAAGGCCAGUUGGGUGUAGCAGUGCAUUAUAUGCUCGAGCAGCAAUAAUUCACUGGUGAGCCUUUAACUUGCUGGGCUGUAGCAGUAUGUCCAGUUCGGAUGUUUUGACCAGUACCCAGUAGAGUUUACUGCCAUUGUAGAGCAAUUGCACCGUAUUAAAUUGUCUAUUGCUAACAUUGGCUGGAAUUAAUUUAAUUCUCUAGCAGCUGAGAUUUUAAAGUUUUG
rnacentral:misc_RNA from 1 species